rnacentral:rRNA from 1 species
GGACAACCCGCCGAAAGGCGGGCUAAACCCGCGUACAUGCCACCGGGGCAUCCCGGAGGCAGGAAAGGCUUCGGCCGGACAGGGAUGGGCAUGCGGCGCAUUAGGCAGUAGGCGGGGUAACGGCCCACCUAACCGACGAUGCGUAGGGGUUCUGAGAGGAAGGUCCCCCACACUGGUACUGAGACACGGACCAGACUCCUACGGGAGGCAGCAGUGAGGAAUAUUGAUCAAUGGUCGGGAGACUGAACCAGCCAAGCCGCGUGAGGGAUGAAGGUACAGAGUAUCGUAAACCUCUUUUGUCAGGGAACAAAGACUGGGACGCGUCCCCGGAUGAGUGUACCUGAAGAAAAAGCAUCGGCUAACUCCGUGCCAGCAGCCGCGGUAAUACGGAGGAUGCGAGCGUUAUCCGGAUUUAUUGGGUUUAAAGGGUGCGCAGGCGGUCUGUUAAGUCAGCGGUCAAAGCCCGGGGCUCAACCCCGGCCCGCCGUUGAAACUGGCAGUCUCGAGUUGGAGAGAAGUAUGCGGAAUGCGCGGUGUAGCGGUGAAAUGCAUAGAUAUCGCGCAGAACUCCGAUUGCGAAGGCAGCAUGCCGGCUCCACACUGACGCUGAGGCACGAAAGCGUGGGUAUCGAACAGGAUUAGAUACCCUGGUAGUCCACGCAGUAAACGAUGAAUGCUGGCUGUCCGGGGGGACUGACCCCUGGG